CAAAACGUAGCUUACUCAAAAGCAUCUGGCUUACACCCAGAAGACAUCACCCAAUGAUCGUUUUGA
rnacentral:tRNA from 1 species